rnacentral:rRNA from 1 species
UACGUAGGGGGCUAGCGUUGUCCGGAAUUAUUGGGCGUAAAGGGAGUGUAGGCGGUUAUCUAAGUCUUCUGUGAAAUCUACGGGCUUAGCCUGUAACGUGCAGAGGAAACUGGGUGACUAGAGUGUCGGAGAGGAUAGGGGAAUACCCAGUGUAGAGGUGAAAUUCGUAGAGAUUGGGUGGAACACCAGUGGCGAAGGCGCCUGUCUGGCUGACAACUGACGCUGAGACUCGAAAGCAUGGGGAGCAAACAGG